AACGAACGCUGGCGGCAUGCCUAACACAUGCAAGUCGAACGAGACCUUCGGGUCUAGUGGCGCACGGGUGCGUAACGCGUGGGAACCUGCCCUUAGGUUCGGAAUAACUCCCCGAAAGGGGUGCUAAUACCGGAUAAUGUCUUCGGACCAAAGAUUUAUCGCCUUUGGAUGGGCCCGCGUUGGAUUAGCUAGUUGGUAGGGUAAAAGCCUACCAAGGCGACGAUCCAUAGCUGGUCUGAGAGGAUGAUCAGCCACACUGGGACUGAGACACGGCCCAGACUCCCACGGGAGGCAGCAGUGGGGAAUAUUGGACAAUGGGCGAAAGCAUGAUCCAGCAAUGCCGCGUGAGUGAUGAAGGCCUUAGGGUUGUAAAGCUCUUUUACCCGGGAUGAUAAUGACAGUACCGGGAGAAUAAGCUCCGGCUAACUCCGUG
rnacentral:rRNA from 1 species